AAUUCUUGCUUUUCGCCGGAAAUUUUUCCGGCAACUCCUGCUCUUUUCUUUCUAUUCUCUCCUCUGCUUUUUUGUGGGUGUGUGUGGGUGUGUUCUGUUAUCUUGGACAGGUGCCUAUUUUACCGGCGAGGAUUUCCGGCAAGCCACAGUACUCACGGUGACUCCCGUUCAGACUCGCGGCAGGACGCAAUAGAACUACACGUUCUGCUAAGCUUCAGGAAAACUUGG
rnacentral:lncRNA from 1 species